CAGUCGCCACGGUAAAACGAAGGGUGCAAGCGUUACUCGGAAUUACUGGGCGUAAAGCGUGCGUAGGUGGUGGUUUAAGUCCGUUGUGAAAGCCCUGGGCUCAACCUGGGAAUUGCAGUGGAUACUGGGUCACUAGAGUGUGGUAGAGGAUAGUGGAAUUUCCGGUGUAGCAGUGAAAUGCGUAGAGAUCGGAAGGAACAUCUGUGGCGAAGGCGACUAUCUGGGCCAACACUGACACUGAGGCACGAAAGCGUGGGGAGCAAACAGGAUUAGAUACCCAGUAGUCCCUGUCUCUUAUACA
rnacentral:rRNA from 1 species